GGCGAACGGGGUGANUAAUGCAUCGGAACGUGCCCAGUUAGUGGGGGAUAACCCGGCGAAAGCNNGGCUAAUACCGCAUACGACCUAAGGGUGAAAGCGGGGGACCGUAAGGCCUCGCGCUAUUGGAGCGGCCGAUGUCUGAUUAGCUAGUUGGCGGGGUAAGAGCCCACCAAGGCGACGAUCAGUAGCUGGUCUGAGAGGACGACCAGCCACACUGGGACUGAGACACGGCCCAGACUCCUACGGGAGGCAGCAGUGGGGAAUUUUGGACAAUGGGCGCAAGCCUGAUCCANCCAUGCCGCGUGCGGGAAGAAGGCCUUC
rnacentral:rRNA from 1 species